CGCGCCCUUCGGGGUGAGCGGCGGACGGGUUAGUAACGCGUGGGAACGUGCCCAGAUCUAAGGAAUAGCCACUGGAAACGGUGAGUAAUACCUUAUACGCCCUUCGGGGGAAAGAUUUAUCGGAUUUGGAUCGGCCCGCGUUAGAUUAGGUAGUUGGUGGGGUAAUGGCCUACCAAGCCUACGAUCUAUAGCUGGUUUUAGAGGAUGAUCAGCAACACUGGGACUGAGACACGGCCCAGACUCCUACGGGAGGCAGCAGUGGGGAAUCUUGGACAAUGGGGGCAACCCUGAUCCAGCCAUGCCGCGUGAGUGAUGAAGGCCUUAGGGUCGUAAAGCUCUUUCGCCUGUGAUGAUAAUGACAGUAGCAGGUAAAGAAACCCCGGCUAACUCCGUGCCAGCAGCCGCGGUAAUACGGAGGGGGUUAGCGUUGUUCGGAAUUACUGGGCGUAAAGCGCGCGUAGGCGGAUUAGUCAGUUAGAGGUGAAAUCCCAGGGCUCAACCCUGGAACCGCCUUUAAUACUGCUAGUCUUGAGUUCGAGAGAGGUGAGUGGAAUUCCGAGUGUAGAGGUGAAAUUCGUAGAUAUUCGGAGGAACACCAGUGGCGAAGGCGGCUCACUGGCUCGAUACUGACGCUGAGGUGCGAAAGUGUGGGGAGCAAACAGGAUUAGAUA
rnacentral:rRNA from 1 species